AUGGUCGACACGGGUCAAAGUGUAGUAUCAGUUCUUAUCAGAUUAACAUCCUUAAUAUCCGAAACGGGCUGUAUUUGGAACCAAGAUAAACUUAUUUUUGCAAGUUGGCGGAGUGCUUGAAGCCUCCUUCACCUCCGCCGCAGGUCGGCCCGGUAUUGCACUAUCUUCGGAAUCGGCCCAUGGUUU